GACGAACCGUGCGAACGUUGUUCGGAAUCACUGGGCUUAAAGGGCGCGUAGGCGGGCAGCCAAGUCAGGGGUGAAAUCUUUCGGCUCAACCGGAAAAGUGCCUUUGAUACUGGCUGCCUCGAGGGAGGUAGGGGCAUGUGGAACUUCCGGUGGAGCGGUGAAAUGCGUUGAUAUCGGAAGGAACGCCGGUGGCGAAAGCGACGUGCUGGACCUCUUCUGACGCUGGAGUGCGCGAAAGCUAGGGGAGCAAACGGG
rnacentral:rRNA from 1 species